UACGUAGGGCGCAAGCGUUGUCCGGAAUUAUUGGGCGUAAAGAGCUCGUAGGCGGUUUGUCGCGUCUGCUGUGAAAACCUAAGGCUCAACCUUGGGCUUGCAGUGGGUACGGGCAGACUAGAGUGCGGUAGGGGUGACUGGAAUUCCUGGUGUAGCGGUGGAAUGCGCAGAUAUCAGGAGGAACACCGAUGGCGAAGGCAGGUCACUGGGCCACUACUGACGCUGAGAAGCGAAAGCAUGGGGAGCGAACAGG
rnacentral:rRNA from 1 species